rnacentral:rRNA from 1 species
AUGGCAACUCGCAUCGUGUCGCCGUGUGCGUGCUGCGCCGAUCGGCGCGAGAGCCUCCAUGACCAGCCCAUGAUGCUUCGUUCUAGCACCAAUUACACUGCCGUUCAUAUCAUAUGUACCAUCAUCAUCACGGUUGGCAAUGUAUAUGAUGCGAGCAAGCGCGAUGCUGACCCCAACACGGUGAUGGCAUAUCUUGUGUUAAUACAUGGGCGAGGUUGGCAAUGUAUAUCUCAUGAUGUCCUACGCCCCCGUUCUUUCUCUGAAAUUGAAAUGACGGUCUACUGUACCCAGACCACAACUUGCAAAAGUUCAUGGGCCAUCGUCCUUUGGUGUACGGGACUAGUAGUACAAGUUACUAGCACUUUCGCGGAGGGAGACAUGCCACGAGAGAAAUGUGCGGAACUGAGCUGA